UACGUAGGGGGCAAGCGUUAUCCGGAUUUACUGGGCGUAAAGCGCGUUAAGGCGGUUGGCAAAGUUGGUUGUGAAAUUUCGGGGCUCAACCCCGAAACUGCGUCCAAUACUGGUCGACUUGAGUACGAGAGAGGAAGGUGGAAUUCCCGGUGUAGUAGUGAAAUGCGUAGAUAUCGGGAGGAACACCAGUGGCGAAGGCGGCCUUCUGGACCAGCACUGACGCUGAGGCACGAAAGCGUGGGGAGCAAACAGG
rnacentral:rRNA from 1 species